rnacentral:rRNA from 1 species
CUACGUGCCAGCAGCCGCGGUAAUACGGAAGGUCCGGGCGUUAUCCGGAUUUAUUGGGUUUAAAGGGAGCGUAGGCCGGGGAUUAAGUGUGUUGUGAAAUGUAGACGCUCAACGUCUGACUUGCAGCGCAUACUGGUUUCCUUGAGUACGCACAACGUUGGCGGAAUUCGUCGUGUAGCGGUGAAAUGCUUAGAUAUGACGAAGAACUCCGAUUGCGAAGGCAGCUGACGGGAGCGCAACUGACGCUUAAGCUCGAAGGUGCGGGUAUCGAACAGGAUUAGAUACCCUGGUAGUCCGCACAGUAAACGAUGGAUGCCCGCUGUUGGUACCUGGUAUCAGCGGCUAAGCGAAAGCAUUAAGCAUCCCACCUGGGGAGUACGCCGGCAACGGUGAAACUCAAAGGAAUUGACGGGGGCCCGCACAAGCGGAGGAACAUGUGGUUUAAUUCGAUGAUACGCGAGGAACCUUACCCGGGCUUGAAU